rnacentral:rRNA from 1 species
CCUACGGGUGGCUGCAGUGAGGAAUAUUGGGCAAUGGGCGCAAGCCUGACCCAGCAACGCCGCGUGAGGGAAGAAGGCUUUCGGGUUGUAAACUUCUUUUGUCAGGGACGAAGCAAGUGACGGUACCUGACGAAUAAGCCAUUGCUAACUACGUGCCAGCAGCCGUGGUAAUACGAAGGUGGCAAGCGUUAUCAGGAUUUACUGGGUGUAAAGGGGGUGUAGGCGGGACUGCAAGUCAGAUGUGAAAACCACGGGCUCAACCUGUGGCCUGCAUGUGAAACUGUAGGUCUUGAGUACUGGAGAGGCAGACGGAAUUCCGAGUGUAGCGGUGAAAUGCGUAGAUAUUAGGAGGAACACCAGUGGCGAAGGCGGUCAGCUGGAC